rnacentral:rRNA from 1 species
UAGGGAAUCUUCCGCAAUGGACGAAAGUCUGACGGAGCAACGCCGCGUGAGUGAAGAAGGAUUUCGGUUCGUAAAACUCUGUUGUUAGGGAAGAAAAAAUGUAUAGUAACUAUAUACAAAAGAGACGGUACCUAACCAGAAAGCCCCGGCUAAAUACGUGCCAGCAGCCGCGGUAAUACGUAUGGGGCGAGCGUUGUCCGGAAUUAUUGGGCGUAAAGGGUACGUAGGCGGUCUAUUAAGUCAGGUGUGAAAGCGUGAGGCUUAACCUCAUUAAGCACUUGAAACUGAUAGACUUGAGUGAAGGAGAGGAAAGUGGAAUUCCUAGUGUAGCGGUGAAAUGCGUAGAUAUUAGGAGGAACACCGGUGGCGAAAGCGGCUUUUUGGCCUGCAACUGACACUGAGGCGCGAAAGCGUGGGGAGCAAACAGG